UGGGGAAUAUUGGACAAUGGGCGAAAGCCUGAUCCAGCCAUGCCGCGUGUGUGAAGAAGGUCUUCGGAUUGUAAAGCACUUUAAGUUGGGAGGAAGGGCAUUAACCUAAUACGUUAGUGUUUUGACGUUACCGACAGAAUAAGCACCGGCUAACUCUGUGCCAGCAGCCGCGGUAAUACAGAGGGUGCAAGCGUUAAUCGGAAUUACUGGGCGUAAAGCGCGCGUAGGUGGUUUGUUAAGAUGGAUGUGAAAUCCCCGGGCUCAACCUGGGAACUGCAUUCAAAACUGACUGACUAGAGUAUGGUAGAGGGUGGUGGAAUUUCCUGUGUAGCGGUGAAAUGCGUAGAUAUAGGAAGGAACACCAGUGGGGAAGGCGACCACCUGGACUAAUACUGACACUGAGGUGCGAAAGCGUGGGGAGCAAACA
rnacentral:rRNA from 1 species